rnacentral:lncRNA from 1 species
UAUCUGCUCUUCUAUUGCUUCAUCCCUACCUGUAUCAUCAGCAGCAAGCAAAGCACGUGUAUCGUCAUCAAAAUCACUAGCAGAGGAAUACCCACCAUCAGCGUUAACCACCAAAACACGCUUGUUUGGACAAUCUCGCUGUACGUGCCCAUAGCCCUUGCAUCGAUGACACUGAACAUCUCUUGUUCUUCCUGUGGAAUUAACCGAGGAGGCACUAGCGAUUGGUCUCUGGGCUGAUUUAGUUGCUGUAUUUGUGG